CAGCAGCCGCGGUAAUUCCAGCUCCAAUAGCGUAUAUUAAAGUUGUUGUGGUUAAAAAGCUCGUAGUUGGAUCUCAACAGCCUUGAAGCGGUUAACUUUGUAGUUUUACUGCUUUAUAGGCUGUGCUUUUGCUGGAGGUUUAGGGGUGCUCUUGAUCGAGUGUCUCUGGAUGCCAGCAGGUUUACUUUGAAAAAAUUAGAGUGCUCAAAGCAGGCUAAAAUGCCUGAAUAUUCGUGCAUGGAAUAAUAGAAUAGGAUGUCGAUCCUAUUUUGUUGGUUUUCGGGACUCGACAUAAUGAUAAAUAGGGACAGUCGGGGGCAUUUGUAUUCAAACGACAGAGGUGAAAUUCUUGGACCGUUUGAAGACAAACUACUGCGAAAGCAUUUGCCAAGAAUGUUUUCAUUAAUCAAGAACGAAAGUUAGAGGUUCGAAGGCGAUUAGAUACCGCCCUAGUUCUAACCAUAAACGAUGCCAGCUAGCGAUCUGCCUGCGUUUUUACUGUAGACUGGGCAGGAAGCUUCCGGGAAACCAAAGCAUUUGGGUUCCAGGGGAAGUAUGGUUGCAAAGCUGAAACUUAAAGGAAUUGACGGAAGGGCACCACCAGGAGUGGAGCCUGUGGCUUAAUUUGACUCAACACGGGAAAUCUCACCAGGCCCGGACACUGGAAGGAUUGACAGAUUGAUAGCUCUUUCUUGAUUCGGUGGGUGGUGGUGCAUGGCCGUUCUUAGUUGGUGGAGUGAUUUGUCUGGUUAAUUCCGAUAACGAACGAGACUCUGUCCUGCUAAAUAGUUUCUACUUCUCUUUUGAGUAGAAAUUUCUUCUUAGAGGGACUGGUGACUCUUAGUCACACGAGAUUGAGCAAUAACAGGUCUGUGAUG
rnacentral:rRNA from 1 species